AACGCUAGCUACAGGCUUAACACAUGCAAGUCGCGGGGUAACGAGAGGGAAGCUUGCUUUCCUUGUCGACGACCGGCGCACGGGUGAGUAACGCGUAUCCAACCCGCCCAUUACCACGGGAUACCCCGUCGAAAGGCGGCCUAAUACCGUAUGCAGUCGUCAGAUGACAUCAGAGGACGACGAAAGGAUUGGCGGUAAUGGAUGGGGAUGCGUCUGAUUAGGUAGUUGGAGGGGUAACGGCCCACCAAGCCAUCGAUCAGUAGGGGUUCUGAGAGGAAGGUCCCCCACAUUGGAACUGAGACACGGUCCAAACUCCUACGGGAGGCAGCAGUGAGGAAUAUUGGUCAAUGGGCGCGAGCCUGAACCAGCCAAGUAGCGUGAGGGAUGACGGCCCUAUGGGUUGUAAACCUCUUUUAUGCGGGAAUAAAAUGUUUGACGUGUCAUACAUUGUAGGUACCGCAAGAAUAAGGACCGGCUAAUUCCGUGCCGGCAGCCGCGGUAAUACGGAAGGUCCAGGCGUUAUCCGGAUUUAUUGGGUUUAAAGGGAGCGUAGAUGGGUUGUUAAGUCAGUUGUGAAAGUUUGCGGCUCAACCGUAAAAUUGCAAUUGAUACUGGCAGUCUUGAGUACAGUUGAGGUAGGCGGAAUUCGUGGUGUAGCGGUGAAAUGCUUAGAUAUCACGAAGAACUCCGAUUG
rnacentral:rRNA from 1 species